rnacentral:lncRNA from 1 species
UGGCAUUCACUUUGUAGGAGUAAGGAGAAAGCUAUUUUCAUGUAAAAAUAAUCUGAAACUUUUUUGGAAGCUCCUAGAAAUGGCAGAGAUGAAGAGAAGACAAAUAGUGCUGAUGAUAUUUGGUAUGACAUUGGUAAUUCUCAGAGGGACCCCGCAGUGUAGUGUGCCAGUGUGGAUGUUCUUAGCUUUUAUGAAGGUGACAGACUUGACCUGUCAUGUACUAGUUACACCCUGGACAGACUAGAAAUGUCACAAACUGCUAGCAGUUCCUACUGAAGAUAUAAAAGCGUCUCUUUGGAAAGCUGUGCCACUUAGAAAGAACGGAUCACCUCUAAUGCCCGUCCCUUCUGUGUGCCUCAGCUCCCACCAAGGACUGCAGCACAGGACCACAUCCAGCGUCGUGUCGGCAGUGGAACCGGCACAUGAGAGCCCACCUGCAUGACAGAGGACUUUCUGGAAAACAAGUUCAGCCUUGCUGUCUGCGCCUGGCACGUGAGAAUGAAAACUGGCUUGUUUGGAGCAAAGGCCUCCCUGCAGUCACUGACAGAUGAAAUCUCAGUGUGGAAGGCAGCAAUGGGAUACGCAGACCUUGACUCCGUGAUGUAGCUGUUGUUGAAGGCUUGGCCCUAGAAAGUGAAUUGGAAUAUGAUCAGAUGCAGCUUGCUAUUGCAGGAGUAACACGAGUUCUCUGUAAACUGGUCUCUCAACUAGGCUUUGGAAGCAGCUCUGCAGGAUGUCCUGGGACCAGUGUGACACAACUGGGAGUACCAGCUAGCUGAAAAACUCGCUUCAGAAGCACUCGGCCAUGGCCUGCUGAGGAACUGGAGAGGCCUCGUCUGAGAUGUGCAGAAAGCUCACACCAGUUUAAAGAUACAUGAAUUCUGCUCUGUCAUAACCAUACGAUGCCAAAAAGACCUGCUGCUGCUUCCAGUGACUGACUGCUCAUCUGAUGGGUCUCAGUUCCGAAGUCCAAAAUGAGAUUCCUCUGCUUAAGGACUGGCUAUUCAGAGAUGCACUUGGAGUCCUGCGGCUGCUCCUGAAAUCAGUGGGAACUGACUUCAGGCACCACUGAAACUCACUCCUGGCUCUCCCAGAUGCCUUUUUUUAAUUGAAGAUGCUUGGAUGUUACAAGGUGCUUCUAACAAGGUAAGCUGGAGAUGACAGCGCUUUCAAAGCACAGCAAUUCCUAAGUAUGACAAAUAC